rnacentral:tRNA from 1 species
UAGCUUAAUUAAAAGCCCCUCGCUUACACCGAGCCUAUAUCUGUUUAACCCAGAUCACUUUGAG